AUGGGUUAUCGAUCCCAGACAAUUCGGGAAUAUCGAUCCCAAAGAAUCCAUGGGUUAUCGAUCCCAGACAAUUCAGGAAUAUCGAUCCCAAAGAAUCCAUGGGUUAUUGAUCCCAGACAAUUCGGGAAUGUCNNNNNNNNNNNNNNNNNNNNAUCAGGAUCGGAUCGGGAUCGGGAUCGGGAUCGGGAUCUGGAUCAGGAUCGAUCGGGAUCGGGAUCAGGAUCAGGAUCGGAUCGGGAUCAGGAUCAGGAUCAGAUCAGGAUCGGAUCGGGAUCGGGAUCAGGAUCAGGAUCAGAUCAGGAUCUGGAUCGGGAUCAGGAUCGGAUCAGGAUUGGAUCGAGAUCGGGAUCGGGAUCAGGAUCAGGAUCAGAUUCGGAUCGGGAUCAGGAUCUGGAUCGGGAUCAGGAUCGGAUUGGGAUCGGGAUCAGGACCAAGAUCAGGAUCAGGAUCGGAUCGGGAUCAGGAUCGGAUCGGGAUCAGGAUCAGGAUCAGGAUCAGGAUCAGGAUCAGGAUCAGGAUCAGGAUCAGGAUCAGGAUCAGGAUCAGGAUCAGAUUCGGAUCGGGAUCAGGAUCGGAUCAGGAUCGGAUCAGGAUCGGAUCAGGAUCAGGAUCAGGAUCGGGAUCAGGAUCAGGAUCAGGAUCAGAUUCGGAUCGGGAUCAGGAUCAGGAUCGGAUCAGGAUCAGGAUCAGGAUCAGAUCGGGAUCGGAUCAGGAUCAGGAUCAGGAUCAGAUCGGGAUCAGGAAUGGGAUCAGGAAUGGGAUCGGGAAUUCCGAUCCCGCUGCUGCUCCCGGUUCUCUCCGCGCUCCAUUCCCGCGGAUUCCGUCCCGUGGAAGGUGAGUUUUUGGGAUCGGGAAUCGCUCGGAUGGGAAAAGAACCCAAAAAAAUCCCGGGAAUGUCGGGGGAAAAAAAAUCCUGGAAUACGGAACCCAAAAAAUUCGGGAAUAACGGAGGUGUUCCCAAAGAAUUCCAGGAUUCCCAAUGGUUUGGGAAUAUGGAAGCUCUGA
rnacentral:lncRNA from 1 species